UAAAAGUAAUCUCUACAGGAAAUUUUGUGCACCAAAAUUUAUGUUUAUUUACAGCUAUUUUAUUUGUGAUAUAAAUUUGUUUCAAUUCUGCGUGCAAAAUGCAUUUUUAGUGUCAUGCAACAUAAAUAUGUGAAUAAUAAAAAAAUGGAAUGUUCAUAAACAUGAAUGUGGUUGGUCAGAUUAUUGAUGUUAUGAUUGCAGCAAAAAAAUGUUUAUAUACAAUUGGAACAGGACACUGUGUGCAGGAAAUAAAAUACCCAAGUAUAUUUUGUGACAAUGAAAACAACUGUGAUGAAUAUGACACCUGAAACAAGAAUAAAAUGAAAAUAAUAAUAGCAGAAUUAAUAAUAAUUUGAUAAUAAGUUGACAGUGGAUGGAUUAUUCUGUAAAUUAAAAGCCUGAAAAUUUCCGGCAUUUUGCAUUUUGUGCUUGAUGGAAGAUCUAGAGAUGUAUCUUAAUAUAACAGCAUGAUAUUAUCAAGAUUUUGACUGUUAAUAUUGUCAUGGCAACGAUUCUUCAACGUUUACGUAGGCGGUCACUACAGGCCGAGCCCGAGCAGGACUAUCUACUCUGGAACCAGACAGCCAUGUUGUCGUGUUGGAAGAAUGUCCACGGUCGAGAGCACGAGCUUGGUUUGAGCAAACUGGAACGGUCCAUCUCAGAAAUACUCUUGAAAAAGCUUGCAGUUGAAUCUACAGAUGUUAGCAACAAAGUUUCAUGGGCCAAUGCAGCCAAUGUAGUGAAUGGUAUUGAAGAUCAAAAAGACAGAAGUGGACAUCAAAACUCUGUUAGAAAAGUCUCAUGUGGGUGCAAAGGGAUGGAAACUGAAAAAAACCCUUCCUGGCAUAAUUUUAAUUGUGUAAAUUAUCGUGAGAAUGUGAAUGUAAAUGAGUCGAGCAAGUCUGAACAGACCGAAAAAUACUUGGUGGCUGACAUACAUCAAUUUAAUACCAGACUUGAAUGUCUGACUUGUAAGAGACGAGGGAAUAGUGUGCGCUUGUUCCAAGAGGUUACAAACAUAAUGUCCAGUAAUGCAAACAACAAUAAUAAUGUGAAACACAAAGACUAUCAUAUAGCAGUAAAAGAGACUGUGAUAAAUGACACUGUUGUUACUAAAAAGCCAGCCUAUAGGCAGUCAUCAUUCCCAGAAACUUUGAUAGCCAGAAAACUUCUGAAAUCAGAUAUUAAAAGGAAUUCCCUACCAGUGACCAUGCAUACUGAAAAAGAAACUGUGGCAGUUGAUUUGUUGCCAAGGAAACCUGUCGUUGAAAAGGCCCAAGAUGUACUGGACACGGUGCCGGAGCUGUUCCAAGGUAUCCGCAAGGCAACGCAGAGGGAGAUGGAGCCCAAAGACCCGGAGCCCGCAAAGGCCUGCUAUGAGGUCAUGUAUGUAGGUCGCGCCAAGGUCAAGGGCAAGAAAGUGCUGUCUAGUCAUAUCGACGAUCUCGUUGCCCGGUUGGAGGCCAAAGACUCGGUACCUGGUCUGAAAACCAUCGAGACUUCGGACUCAAGACGCAGACACAAGAGCGACUCAAGUAUCAAGAGUCUGCCAACCGUCUUUGAUGAAUGUCUGACAUCGGAGAGUGGUGAUAUGCAGAAAAUGAAAAUAAUACAGGGAGUGGAAUUGCAUUUAGGGAGCAACGAAGAAAUUAAUCGAACAGUAACGUCUGGUGGCGUAGGUGUAGGCUCAGAGCACCACUUCAGCGAUGGGGCACUUAGCUCAACAGAAAAUGUCAACGACGGGCUCAGCCUGUCUAACUCUAGUGACCAGCUUAGGGACAUGUUUCACAGUUUACGCCUCAAUCCAGAUUCCUCUGAUAAUCUAGGUCAAGGUCAGGGUAAUGAUCUCCAUGACAACGAAGGUCAGUCAUUGAACCGCACCAUGCUGUUUCGUAUCGGACAGAGCGAGAUCUCACUGAUCAGCCUUGACAAGAAGCAGACGAUCAUAGAGCGGAAUUUCAAGAAUAUAUCUUCUGUGUCACAGGGCAACGCAAAGCCAGAUGUGUUUGGUUUCAUAUCGCGGGAACCCGGAAGUGUGCUGGUAUGCCAUCUCCUUCGCUGCUGCUCCAAUGUUUUGGUCGAUGAAAUCAUGGCUGACCUGCGGGUGUCAUUCCGUAACGCGUACCAGCAGAGUCGCCAGCAGACCCAGCAGAUCUGCAUCCACUGCCCCCUGCACCAGUACCACAACCUCUGCAAGGACAUCAAUGGCCAGAGCGCAGAGUCAGCAUACAGCCUGCUGUGUAAGAGAAUACAACAACUGCCUGAGAAAGAUGCUGAAGACCUCUACCGGUCGUUACAGAAUGAGAACCCCCAGAGCCACGAGGAGUCUGUAGAGUCCCUCAUGAUCCACAUCCGUAAACUGUGCGAGGUCAAACAGCAAAACCACACCCACAUCUCCGACUCUGCAAAGGGGCCGCACAAAACUGAUUUCUUCCUUGGGGACAUGAAGAGUAAGCCCAACAAGUCGGCCUUUGAGUUCAUCAGGAACAAAGCCCGGAAGACGUUGACAACGUCCUUUGAAUCCUUGCUCACGAAUGUUCACCAUAAGACAGAGGAGGUCAAGGAAGUAUUCCGCCAUCGCAGUGGGACCAAUGAGAAUGAGGGGGGAUCAUUUAGUCGGUCAUUGGAUCACACCUCGCCCGAUGCCUCCCCUGCCCCGUCGCCAGGCCCUCUCACCAAAGACAAGACCAAGUUUGAUUUCUCCAGCCCGCCCCCUUCCCCAGAGCCAGGGCGCCCACGGGCCGCCACAGUCGGUGCAAAGCCUGACCCAGACGUGAUAGAACGGGCCAAGUCAAGACAACUACAGGAGCUACAGGAUCGGAGGAAGUCCAGCGAUAGUCCCAUGAAACAUAUGUUCAUCCUAGCCAACUGCAGUUCGCCCAGCAAGCGCUCCUCCCUGUCGGGCGAGGAUGAUCCCGGGGGCUCUGACCCCCAGCACGGCCCCAGCUCCAACAAGAGGGUGUCCUGGAGACAGGCCAUCUUCAACAGGGUCGUCACACCUUCCAAACAUCCCAGCACGCCCACAUUGGAAGAGGCAGAGGAGGGAGAGGAGAGGGCCAAGAAAACGAAGGAAGAGUUGCGGGCCUUGUGGAGAAAAGCGAUACUGGAGACCCUGCUGUUGAUCCGUAUGGAGCGUGAGAAUAUAGACUUACAAGCUCGCCAAGAUGAGGCGGACUUGAAGAGGCAGAAGUUGGACUAUGUUGAGAUAACUCCGUGUCUGCGAGAGGUCUCCAAGCAGUGGGAUGAAAUGUUGACCUCACCCGGGCGCCCAAAGGUUGUCGUUAGCAAUGAGAAGCUUCUGGACUGUGUCAAACAAGGGGUUCCCCAGGCCAAGCGUGGAGAGAUCUGGUGGCUGCUGGUGGAGCAACAUCGUCUCAAGUUCCCGGCCCUGGAAGCAAAGACCCCCGUUGUGGAAUAUUUUGAACUUCUGAAGCAGCUCACCAAUCAUCAGCAUGCCAUACUCAUUGAUUUAGGGCGCACAUUCCCGGGCCAUCCCUACUUCUCCCUCCAGCUGGGCAGUGGUCAGCUGGCGUUGUUCAACCUGUUGAAGGCCUACAGUCUCAUGGACCAGGACGUGGGGUACUGUCAGGGCCUCAGCUUCGUGGCUGGUAUACUCCUCAUGCACAUGGACGAGCUGCAAGCCUUUGAGGCAUGGAAACAUGUGAUGUACAACCUGGGCAUGAGGAAGCAGUACAGACCCAACAUGAUAGCACUGCAGAUUGAGCUAUACCAGCUGACCCGUCUGCUGCACCAUCACUAUCGUGACCUCUACGAGCAUCUCGAGCAGCACGACAUAGCCCCCACCCUGUACGCUGCACCGUGGUUCCUCACACUCUUUGCUUCUCAGUUCCCUCUUGGGUUUGUGGCUCGAGUCUUUGAUCUGAUAUUCAUUCAGGGGUCAGAGGUGAUAUUCAAGGUGGCCCUGGUGCUGCUAGGUAACCACAAGGAGCUGAUCAUGCAGUGCAACUCGUUUGAAACUAUUGUGGAGUUUAUUAAGACUACCCUACCAGAAAUGGGCAUGAUACAGAUGGAACGAGUCAUCAAUCAGGUGUUUGACCUUGACAUUUCCAAGCAGCUGCAGUCGUACGAGGUGGAAUACCAUGUGCUGAACGAAGUCAUGAUGUUCUCCCCCCCUCAGAAAGGCGACGGCGACCAACUGACAAGGCUGGAACAGACCAACUUGAGUCUCAAGCAGCAGAAUAUGGAACUCAUAGAGAAGCUCCAACACGCACACAGCCAUGAAAGAAGUCUGGAGAUCAUGAUAAAUAAUUUCCAGACACAUGAGGCCAAGUUAAAGUCCCACAUUCGAGCAUUGGAGAUUGAACGGGCUGCGUUACUUAACACGGUUGGAAAGUUGCAACAGUUGGUACCUGAAAAGGAGCGGAUGGGCCUUGAUUUGUGCUUGCCCACUUUGACUCCGAGCAUGCCUGUGUCACCGGUGCAUCAUGGGAAACCUGCUGCUGCAGAGAAUUCUGGGAAGUUGGUAGGGCAUGAUGGGAUUGCUAUUCCACAGGAAGUGAUUCAGACUGCAGACGACAGUGCCAAAAAAGCAGAUUUUCCCAAGUCCGCGCGAUUUAGACCCGAUCGACAGAGUUAGUGCUGGUUUCUUUGUGAAGAUUUUUGUAGGACUUUGUUUUGGUAAUUGUAUUAUUCAAGUAACAUGCAGUGCUGUUUAACAGGUAACUGCAUGUGAGUUUUUGUUUUUGAUUCUCUUUAACGACACUUUUUAUCAACAGAUUAAUACAGCACGUUUGUCUGUUAAAUUGUUUUUUAGAAGAUCAGGAAUAAAAUUAGGUGUCAUAAAAGUCUUGUCUUUCCCCAGAUAUAUAGCUAUAAAGGGUGUCAUUAAUUGAUUUGGUGCUUAAACGUUUGGUAACUUAUAGAAUCAUAAUGUAAGUAUCGACUUAUAAGAAGGAAUUGCUUAAAUUGAUGGUUGAAACUGUAAGUAUUCAUUUUAUCAUUUUAAAAGAAUGUACUCUUAAACCAGUUGAUUCCAAUUCGUUUUGCAACUUUAAGCCAUAGUAAUUUUCUGAAUGUAAUAAGUACACUAUUUUAAGGUAGAUUUUGUUAACACAUGUGUGCUUUAUAAUAACUUUUUAAGUGUUUAAUGUGAUCAAUUUCUGGGUUCGAAUUCAAAAAGCAAAGUGUUCUCUGCUCUAAACACCUUUUAUUUAAUGUGUUCCUUUUACAUUACUCUUUUAAGAUAUAUGACAAACCUGUGUUUAAUAUUUGGUUUAUUGCUUAUUUAUAAUGAUAAAGCUUCAUGAGGAAUGUUACAAAUGUUAAAGAAAUGAAGCUGUAUUUUGCCAAAAAUAUAUUUUGGUAUGUAUAAUUCAAACUAUUGUCACCUUUAUGUAGAUAUAUUAAAUAUAUCCUAUUUUUUUGUGCUUGCCUUUUGAGAUUAAUCUUUUUUUGGCUAUGUUGUGUUAAGGCCGAUGUUGAAUAAUAUCUUUUAGAGUAUAGAUUAAUACAAAAUAUAUAUUUCUCUCAUUCAAAUAUUUGCUAACAAACAAAAUAAAAUUAAGUCCAAUCUUGAAUGCCCCGCAUGCAUUCAUGUAAAUGUUAUGCGUGCGAAACUGAGCAUUAUUGAUAAAUCUUUGCCAUUAUUUGUCUUUCAUUUAAGUAUUUUCAUGUGACUCCUAAAAAGGUGUGUUUGGUAUUAUAUCUUUCCACUGCAAUAUCAGUUUUCUGUCUAAAUACCAAAUUUGUAUGUAAUACUAGAGAAAUACUCAAUAGUGAAGUAAUACAUGAGUGUUUGACUGUGUUGACAUCAGACUCAACAGGUUACUGACACGAGGUAUCAUAUUCAGCAAAUGUAAAGGACUUCUCUGACUGCCUCAUAAUUCAGGAAUGUGAAUCCUAUACUAGAAAUGAAUGUUUUGAAAAAAGAUGCACGCUUUUGAUGUUUUGUAACCAGUAUACCUACUCAUAAAUGUUUAGGAGAUAACUGACUAGAUAAAUACCAUACAUUACAUGUUGCUCAAUUUUGUGCUUUAAUCAUAAACACAGUUUUGAACUUCUAUGGUUAAUUGUGUAAAGACUAUAGCCUAUGUGUAGUCAAGUGUAAAAUUCGAAUGAAAUUUGAAAUUCAAGCUUCGUAUUAGUUUGCUGUGCAAAACUUUGUGCUUAUUUCUUUGUUUAUUGUUGAUGCUCUUAAUCUUGAAGUUGGCAAGGUUUUUAUAGCAGCCUUUGCUCAUUGUUAAGCCCUCAUUGUGAAGCUUUAAGGACGUUAAAGUAAUUCCCUUUAUUCAUUCCCUUUCAUGUCUUAUCCAUGUUUUUGAGGUUUAUUAAGUAUUUUCAAGAAACUUUAUUGAAAUAUCCCAUUUAUUGGUAUAACUGUCAUUUUGAAGGCUUACUUUUGCUUCUUUUUGUGUUUGACAAAUCUUUUAACUAAUCCUACAUGAAUGUUCACAACUUUUUGAACAGCAUUUGAAGAUUGUCAUAAAGAACAACAACCAAAUUUACCUCAUUGAUGCAUUUUAAUAUUGUUAAACAUGACUUUGUCUUCAACGUGUUUAUUCCUUACCAAAUAUUGCAUAAAUUACUGUAUUGUUUUGUUCCAAGUUGUUUUGUGUGUGCUUGAUGAUACAUUGGGACCAAGGACUACAAAAUUACCUACCGAAUAUUGUAUAUUUUGCCAUUUCAAUGCAGGCUUUUAAUAGACAGGUUAUUCAAGUGUCCAUUUUUAUCACAUCACUGUCUUUCAUGUUGUGCUACUGAAAACAUUAACAUUAUUAACAUGAUUAUAUUGAUAUUGUAUGUGCUUGAGUACAGUCCAUAAAUAUUGCCUAAAAAUGAAAAACUGCAGAAACCAAUUUGAUCCUGAUGAAAAACAAACAAAAAACAUCAACAUUGAACUCUGUAAAAAUGAAAACAUUGGUGAAACUUUUUAUCAAACAGCUGACAUGAAAUACUCAGGAGUAAAUUGGUUAAUUGGCAUACACAUUAUUUUAUAUUAUUUCUGUACCAAGUAUUUUUCGAACUUACACAUUUUAAAAUUUCAGUUCUGAAAAUAUGUUUUAUUGAAAUAAACGCUAUUAACAUUUGUUAGAACAAUACCAAUACAUGUAUAUAUGUUGGGAAUUAUAUUGUAUGGACUACUGUGUUUAUAGCUUAUUUUUAAUUAUUAAAUAUCACUUAUACCUUCAUCGGUUGAGAGAUGCUUCCAUGUUAAUUGUAAGACAGAAUUAUAACUGAGAAUCUGUCCCCGAGCUGAAAUCACAGCAUAUAUACCAGCACCAAAAUUUAAGUAUUUCAACGAAUAACAGCUUAAUUGAUUAGUCAAAGCUAGACCUAACCUAAGAUUUUAUAUGCAUAAAAGGACAUAAGCAUGCUCGAUCUCAACUUUAAUAUGCUUAAGUACUUGUACAUUUUGUUUAGACCCUUGUCUCAUGGUUUAUUACUGGUAAUUGUAACCUUUUGAUUAAGUAAGUAGGAUUUAAAGAAAUGUUUUUGUUUAAGACUUCUUUAAUUUGUUUAUAUAAAAAUACAUAUUUUGCAGAGGUCUAAUUGCUGAAGUUGUAAUUAUUAUUUUCAUGGGGUCAGUAAUUUGAUGUCUUUGAUUUUAGAUUUACUAGUGUUCACAAUGCAGAAAUCUUAUUAUGCUUUUAAUGUAGAUUGUUGUAAUAUUUUUACCUUGUUUAUAAUGGUUGGUUGUGUUUCUUAAUUGUGUUAUAUUAUAGGAUACACAAAAUAACAAUGUUGAAACAAUAAUGUUUGCAUGCGAAUAUACAACUGGAGCAUUCUUUUUGUCAUGAGCAUGUAUGUGGUCUACUGGUAAUGCAGGCUUCAUUAUCCAAGGGUUGCAAGAUUGAGCGCUUACCUCUUUCACUGCUGAAACCGAAUUAUGAAGGCCUGUGCAAACAGUUUGGAUCCAGAUGAGACGCCACAGAACGUGGCUUCUCAUCAGGAUCCAAACUGUUUGCUAUUCUGAUAGUAUCCUUUGAAAAGAAUCGAAAAAAAUGCUAAUUUUAGAAAUUCAGCAGAUGACAUUUUAACAGACAUGCAAAGGGUUACUCCAACUCAUCUGACGCUUGUCUUCCUUGUAAGACCAUUUCUGCUAAAAAAUCCCCAAGUGUACUGAAGUCUAAAAUUAGCAAUUCAAAUAUCUUAAUACACCAUUGCAAAAUUAAAGUUCUGUAUAAUUGUAAAAUGUCUUUAUGGCAGGAUUUUUGUUUAGAAUAGACCGCCUUUAAACAAAAAGUAUAUAACUUAAGGCAGGAAGUAUUGUCCCUGAUUAGCCAGUGCGGACUGCACAGGCUAAUCUGUUACAUCACAAUACUCUCAUGCAUUAAGCCCAGUGUGCCCAGAACGAGGCUUAUAUGUUUAGUCUGUACUGAAUAAGAGAGUCUUCCAUAGUCUGGUUAUGGCUAUAAUUGCUGUUCUUCCUCCUGGCUAUAAUUGCUGUCCUUCCUCCUGGCUAUAAUUGCUGUUCUUCCUCCUGGCUAUAAUUGCUGUUCUUCCUCCUGGCUAUAAUUGCUGUUCUUCCUCCUGGCUAUAAUUGCUGUUCAUUCUCCUAUGGCAAUAGAAACAAUAUCGAGGGUUGAAUUCAUAACUGGUGUAUGUGUCACAGUUCAUGACUGGUGUAUGUGUCACAGUUCAUGACUGGUGUAUGUGUCACAGUUCAUGACUGGUGUAUGUGUCACAGUUCAUGACUGGUGUAUGUGUCACAGUUCAUGACUGGUGUAUGUGUACCAGAUCAUGACUGGUGUAUGUGUCACAGUUGUUAUAAGUACAUGCACCAUUUACACAUGUUCAUCCCUGUCAUUGUCUUUAAGAAAGUGAAUCUGGGCCUGUAUUCACCAACCGAUUCUUAGACUUAAGAAUAAAGAAUAGACUUAGAACCAAGAAAAAUGUGUUCAGUGUUUGAAUAUAUACAGGCCUCCACUGGUGAUUAUGUCAUUAAUAACAUGUUCUAUAUGAAGAAUAAUAUAGAUAGAGAUGUUUACUGCAGAGUUUGACUCAAAAUUAAAGAAAUUCUUGAAUAUUCUAAUUUAAAGAAUUUUCUUUAUUCUUAGACUUAAGUCUAAGAAUUGUUUGGUGAAUACGGGCCCUGUUUCGAUCAUAUUUUCUUUACAAACAUAUGUCAAUAAUGUGGCUUAAUAAUAAAUGCAUGUGUGUAAAGUGUUGUUCCCACAUAAAUCCCUGCUGAUGGAGAGGCUAACAGGGAAGACACACACAUGCAUAUUAAAGGGACUGUCAACCACGAAUGACGAAAAAAGAAAAGUUUUAAAAUACCGUAUUUGUUUACAAUUAUUAGUUUAUAUUGAUUAAAAUAUCACGACUGGUAUAUAACAUUUCUUGAAAAAAGUUGUUAAGUUUUCAUAUUUUCAGUAUAUUCGGUAAUAAAUUUUACUGGGUACAGGAACCAGGUAACUACCAGUUAACUAUAAAUAACGCAAGUAGAUUGAUCAUCAUCUUCAAGUGGGCAACUCAGGAAUGGAAAUUGUGCAUGAAUGGUUUAUAUUUUAUAUACAAAAUGAUCAAUCUACUUGCGUUAUUUAUAGUGUGUAUAUCGUUUUGUCACCUAUUUUCGCGAUGUACUUUCGAUUUCACAUCACGAAAUUUAAUUACAGAAUAUAUUGAAAAUAUGAACUUUUUUCAAGUAAUGUAAUAUACCCGUCGUGAUAUUUGAAUCAAUAUAAACUUAUAAUUGUAAAAAUACGGUAUUUUGGAACUUUUCUUUUUUCGUCAUUCGUGGUUAACAAUCCCUUUAACAAAAAAUCUGAAAUAUCCAGCAUAGCAGAUGUUUGUCUCAAAAUUAUCAAACAUGUAUCUUUUAAACAUGAAAAGUUAAUUUGUCAUUGUAAAUGUUCUAAAGAUCUGUUUAAGUCAAGAUUGCAUCAGUAUGUUUAUGUUUUUGUUCUUAUAGUGAUAUGUUUGGUGUCUUUCAUAAGUAUACACGUCCAUUUAUAUUAGAUUUAGACUAUAUAUGUUACUAUAUAGCUCGGUGUUGGAAGUAUACAAGCAUGGCUACCCAUGUAACUGAUAUAACUAUUAUAUUCUGGAGUGAAAAACUAAUUGAAUGUACUUAGAUAUGUGAAACUGAAAUUUGUUGAGGUGACCUUAUGACAUUUGUCAUAUCCUUAUUACCUACCAAAGGCGGAGAGGUCUAAAAUUGGGCUUCUGUCAGUCCGUCUGUCGGUCUCAAAACUUUUAUAUCAACAUGGAACUUCAUGGAUGUAUAAAUAUCAAUGAGGAGAAGUGCCCUGUUUAAGAACCAUAACCAUUCACUUUCUUAUACCCUUUUAUUUUUUUGUAUGAUGUAACUUUUCAUGCCUUUAUCUCAGAUGUGAUACAACAUUUCAGCAUGAAACGUCAUAGGUGUGUAGAAGUCAACGGGAAGAAGUGCUAUGCACACAAACCAUAACCCUGAACUUUCUUUACUAAGAGUUAUUUCCCUUUGUUGUUUUUGUAUGAUGUAACUUUUUAAGGCUAUAUCUAGGAUACGCUACAAGAUUUCAACAUGAAACUUCAUGGGUGUGUAGAUAUCAAUAAGGAGAAUUGCAAUUAAUAAAAACAAUUACCCUACUCUUUAAUUAUUACUCAUUAACUAUAACCCUGCACUUAAUUAUUACUCAUUAACUAUAACCCUGCACUUAAUUAUUCUACUGUACAUCAAGGGAUUUGCACCGAGCCAUAAACAAAGUUUAUUUGGCGGGGGAUAUCAAUUCAACAAAUGUGCUUGUUUUUAUUAAUUGCAAUUAAAUCAGAAUUCUAUUGCUCAUAUGUUAGUGAGAAAGGUACUACUUGUAAAAAGAAAGAUUGGUCGGUAUUUAGGCAGUGUGAACUACAUGUAUUAUGUUUUUCUUCAAUUGUUACAAGAGUAUUAAUUGUUUAAAUGAAGCAUAAUUCUGUAUUGCCUGUAUAUAUCAUUAGUGUUAGACUAUUAUAAUAAUCAUUAAUAAGAGACUAUGAUAUGUCAUGAGUAUUAAACUGUGAGUCAGUAUGGACUGAAAGCCUGUUUCACCAUGUUAUUCUUUGCGAAUAACCUUUAAUAUCAUGUAAAGAGUGCAAUAGAUGUUAUUUUUUUGAUGGACCAUUUCACCAUUAAAAAAAGUUUAAUUUCAUGAGUAUUUUAGAACUUAACACAUUCACAAAUUCUGGUACCAUAUUUUGGGCAUUUGAACAAAGAGAAACACUGUUUGAUGACAUUUAAUAUGUUUUGCAAUGAAAAAUAUAUUAAUGGUUAUUAUCCCCCGCCAUCGGCGGAGGGAUAUUGUUUUGGCUUUGUCCGUCCCUCCUUCCAUCCGUCCGUCCGGAGCCAUAUCUUGGAAGUGCUUAGGCGGAUUUCAUUGAAACUUGGUAGUAGUAUAUAUAUGGAUAACAGGAUGAUGCACGCCUAAUGGCAUUGUACACCCUCUGUUAAUAACGAAGUUAUGGCCCUUUGUAUCUUGAAAUAAUGCUUUUUUGUGUGUCCGGAGCCAUAUCUUGGAAGUGCUUUGGCAGAUUUCAUUGAAACUCGGUAUGAGUAUAUAUAUGGAUAAGAGGAUGAUGCAUGCCAAAUGGCAUUGUACACCAUCUGUUAAUAACGGAGUUAUAGCCCUUUGUAUCUUUAAAAAAUUCUUUUUUUGAGUGUCAAAUAUAAAAAUAUAAAUAUAUAUAUAUACUUUUGUGUCCAGAAGCAUAUUGGCGGGGAUAUCAAUUCAACGAAUUUGCUUGUUUUAUUUGUGAUUUUCUGUAUAAUUAUAUUGCUUCAAUCUGCUUUAUAUUAUAGCAACAUUUUUGGCUUGGUUUUUUAAUAUUAUUUGAAUCUAUGUUUUUUGUAUUAGAAGAUAUGUGACAGCCCUGUUCAUCUUCACUGUGUUUUGAGCAAAAGUAUUUUUGGCCCAUGACUAUGAAUAGUCCACAUUGGAAUUUUAAUCUUUAUUGAAAAUAUUGACCAAUGAAAAUGCUUGUUAAGUCUGAGUAAAACAAUAGCUUAAUGAAUACGUACAGAUUUAGAUAGAGCUAAAGAGAGUGGUUACUUUGAUCAGGCCAGAUUAUUUAAGUUCAUGUUUCAUUUUGAGAUUAAUACCAUAUGAGCCGCGCUCUCUGAAAAACGGGUAAAUUGUAAUUGAGUAAAGUAUUGUCCCAGAUUGGCCUUGCAGUCUGCACAGUAUUGUAAUUGAGUAAAGUAUUGUCCCAGAUUGGCCUUGCAGUCUGCACAGGCUAAUCAGGAAAAACACUUUACAUUUUUGUUGUUUCGUUUGUCUAAAGCCAUCUGUUUUUAGCAAAAAUUCAGUUGAAGCGGAAAGUGUCAUCCCUGAUUAGCCUUUGCAUACUGCACAGGCUACUCAGGGACAACACUUGAUGCUGACCUGUGUUCCCAGUGAGCGAGGCUCCUAUAUUAGUUUCUUAACUUAUUUAAAAGCAAAAUAGCCAUUUUAUUUAGAACAAAGUAUGUCAAGUAAACAAAGAAAUUUUGCUCCUAAACAAUUAUACAAGUAUAACUAUAUUUCUGCUUAUUUUUAUUGUAAAUCAUGUAGCUUUCUAUUGAAAACUUGACAAUUAUUUGUGUUCCUCACUUGUAUCUUACGUUAUGUGGUACCCAUGUUUUUAAGUCAAACUCAUGAAUGCAAAUGCAUCUUCUGAUUGUAAUAAACUAGAAACCAGGAAUGCAACAUGUUUUUAUUUGAAGUGUCAAACGUUUGGACAAAAGCCUUUCAAUAAACCGAUUUUUGUUUUGACCAGAGAUCUGACCGACUGUUUAUUGACAGAUAUUUGCUUGAACGCGUGUUGCAAUUUGUUUUAUCAUUUGUUUACGGUUGUCUAUUUACUUUUGCGCCGAAGUUCAUUCUAUGAACUGAGCGAUUCGUUUUAUCAGGAAAAUACAUGAACAAACAUUAAAUUUCGGAAAAGGUAAUGUCAGAAAUCACAAAGAGCUACCAAUAAAUGUUCUUGAAUAUUGUCACUAAUUAUAGUAUGUGUUGAAGCAGCUUUGUGCGCUCUAUGCAUCACUUUGGGAAAACGGGGCAUAAUUCAUGUGCGUAAAAAAAACGGGGCAUAAUUCAUGUGCCUAAAAAAACGGGUCAUAAUUCAUGUGCGUAAAGUAACGGGGCAUAAUUCAUGUGCGUAAAGUAACGGGGCGUAAUUCAUGUGCGUAAACUAACAGGGCAUAAUUCGUGUGCGUAAAGUAACGGGGCAUAAUUCAUGUGCGUAAAGUAACGGUGCAUAAUUCAUGUGCGUAAAGUAACGGGGCAUAAUUCAUGUGCGUAAAGUAACGGGGCAUAAUUCGUGUGCGUAAAGUAACGGGGCAAAAUUCAUGUGUGUAAAGUAACGGGGCGUAAUUCAUGUGCGUAAACUAACAGGGCAUAAUUCAUGUGCGUAAAGUAACGGGGCAUAAUUCAUGUGCGUAAAGUAACGGUGCAUAAUUCAUGUGCGUAAAGUAUCGGGGCAUAAUUCAUGUGCGUAAAGUAACGGGGCAUAAUUCGUGUGCGUAAAGUAACGGGGCAAAAUUCAUGUGUGUAAAGUAACAGGGCAUAAUUCAUGUGCGUACAUUAACAGGUCAUAAUUAAUGUGCGUAAAGUAACGGGUCAUAAUUCAUGUGCAUACAGUAACAGGGCAUAAUUCAUGUGCGUAAAGUAACGGGUCAUAAUUCAUGUGCGUAAAGUAACGGAUCAUAAUUCAUGUGCGUAAAGUAACGGGUCAUAAUUCAUGUGCAUAAAGUAACGGGGCAUAAUUCAUGUGCGUAAAGUAACGGGUCAUAUUUCAUGUGCGUAAAGUAACGGGUCAUCAUUCAUGUGCGUAAAGUAACUGGGCAUAAUUCAUGGGUACGAGCGGUAUACGGACCAUGGACCAUACGGCCCAGACUAUACGGCCCAGAUUAGCGGACCAUACGGCCCAGAUUAUCGGACAAUACGGCCUAGAUUUGCGGACCAUACGGCCCACAUGUUUCUUUACGUCAUGUACAUUAUUCUAAAACACGAAUACACUACAAUUCUGUGCUACCAUUGUACUAUGAAUGUGUUAAAAAUAAAUACAUGCUAGUAUGUGUUUCGCUUUUGAAAAUAAAUAACACCGGAAAUGAAA